rnacentral:rRNA from 1 species
AUCAUUCAGUUGGGAACUCUAAGGAAACUGCCUGUGAUAAGCAGGAGGAAGGUGGGGACGACGUCAAGUCAUCAUGGCCCUUACGGCCUGGGCUACACACGUGCUACAAUGGUUGCUACAAUGGGCAGCGAUCCCGCGAGGGCUAGCUAAUCCCCAAAAGCAAUCUCAGUUCGGAUUGUACUCUGCAACUCGAGUACAUGAAGUUGGAAUCGCUAGUAAUCGUAGAUCAGCAUGCUACGGUGAAUACGUUCCCGGGUCUUGUACACACCGCCCGUCACACCAUGGGAGUUGUUUCUGCCUUAAGUCGGUGAGCCAAUCUGGCAGCCGCCCACGGCAGGGAUGAUGACUGGGGUGAAGUCGUAACAAGGUAGCCGUAUCGGAAGGUGC